AUUAAUAGUUAUAGUCUUUAAACUUAAAAAAAUUGGCGGUAUUUAAAUCUAAUUAGGGGAAUUUGUUUAUUAAAUGAUAAUCCUCAAGAAACCUUACUUUAAUUUAUUUAAUUUAUUUAUUGCCGUUAUCAGAUUAUUUUUUAAGAAUUAAAAAUUUUCUAAAUUUUUUAUUUAAUAAAAUUAUUUCAGGUCAUUAUGUAGUUUAUAUUAAAGUUUAGAUGAAUUACAAUAAAUUAUAUUUAUUAUGGAUUUAAUAUUGCAAUAUAUUAUUGAAAGUGGACUUAAUAGUAAAAAUAAAUUAUAAUUUUAUUUUGAAAUAAGAAUUAAAU
rnacentral:rRNA from 1 species